CAGUAGCCGCGGGAAUACGAAGGGGGCUAGCGUUGCUCGGAAUGACUGGGCGUAAAGGGCGCGUAGGCGGAUGGCACAGUCAGAUGUGAAAUUCCCGGGCUUAACCUGGGGGCUGCAUUUGAUACGUGUUGUCUAGAGUGAGGAAGAGGGUUGUGGAAUUCCCAGUGUAGAGGUGAAAUUCGUAGAUAUUGGGAAGAACACCGGUGGCGAAGGCGGCAACCUGGUCCUUGACUGACGCUGAGGCGCGAAAGCGUGGGGAGCAAACAGGAUUAGAUACCCGCGUAGUCCCUGUCUCUUAUAA
rnacentral:rRNA from 1 species